rnacentral:rRNA from 1 species
GAUUAACGCUAGCGGCAGGCAUAAUACAUGCAAGUUGAACGGCAGCACAGGUAGCAAUACUGGGUGGCGAGUGGCGCACGGGUGCGUAACACGUAUGCAACCUACCCUAUACAGGCGAAUAACCUUUAGAAAUGAGGGCUAAUACGCCGUAGUAUUACAGAUGGGCAUCUAUUUGUAAUUAAAGAUUUAUCGGUAUAGGAUGGGCAUGCGUCCCAUUAGUUAGUUGGUAAGGUAACGGCUUACCAAGACGAUGAUGGGUAGGGGAUCUGAGAGGACUUACCCCCACACUGGUACUGAGACACGGACCAGAAUCCUACGGGAGGCAGCAGUAAGGAAUAUUGGGCAAGGGCCGCGAGGCUGACCCAGCCAUGCCGCGUGCAGGAAGACGGCCUUAUGGGUUGUAAACUGCUUUUAUACAGGAAUAAUAGAGUGUACGCGUACAUUUAUGCAAGUAUCGUAUGAAUAAGCAUCGGCUAACUCCGUG